rnacentral:lncRNA from 1 species
GUCCAUCAAUUGCUACAGCCUUUGCCAGAGCUAUUCUGUUAACCUCAGUGCUGGCCCUGUCACUUUUUCCAGCAGGUUAUGAUCUUUCUUCUCUUAACUGUGAACAUAGGGAAAAACACUAAACCUGAAUCCCUUUACUUGUGUUCCACACCCUUCUCAGAGGGAGAACAUGAAUGAUCAGAGAGGUGCAACUUUUCUAAUGUCCAUUUAGUGUGGAGAUAACUUAGUGUGGAGAUAACUUCUGUCCAGGGCACACAUGGAGGGCUAAUGCAAGCAAUGUCAUCUCAGAGGUUCUAGACUGAGUCCCUCUUGCCUCACUCCAGGGAGAUUGAGGAGGAGUGAGAAUAGCAGGAAGGAAUGGGCAACCCCAGGGGAUUUUGAGUUACUCUUCUGCAAGCUCCCUAUCAACUCUGGGACUGGAAUGCUUUUUCUCUUCAUAGUAACUUCUUCCUCCAACCACUAGGCUAGCUAACUUUCUGUCAUUAGGAAAGUCCUCUUUUCUCUUUUCCAUGACCCAAGGACAUUUGCUGAUCUCUCAAGGACAUUCAGAGCUACCUGUGCAUUUUAUAUUGCAGAGACGUCCCUGUUUUAUACAAUUUUUAUGCUAUAUUUUUGUUUUCAAUACUAAAGAAUAUAUUGAUUAUUUCUUUCUUGGUGCCUUAUAAGCAAUAUCCCUCUUCUUUCCAUUCAUUUCAUUAAAUUUAUUUUUUUUCAGUAGCAAUGGAAAUAGGUAGUGGCCUUGAAAAAGUUUGAAAAUCAUAAUCUAAGGAACACAUCAUGGAGGAAAAUUCACUCUUGCCAGACCUCCUGUGAGGAAUAAAUAGUCCCACAAAUAGUCCACCCAUCAGUAUUCUAGCUAAGCUUUGUUAAUCUUUUCCCAAGGUAAAGUGAUCACAUUUAUUUAUUUUUUCAUGAUGCUUUUGUAAUUUUUUUUUCUUUCAAGGACAAAAGAUUUGCAGUCUGAGCAGCUGGAUUGUUUCCUCCCACUUUUCUGUCCUUGGAGACAUUUGGCCAUUAAAGGGAGCCCACGGAUUCCAUUUCACCAGAUGCAUCUCACAUUUAUUCAGGAUAUAAGUGAUAGGGUGACUCAUUGUGCAACUAAUACAAUUACAGUCUUUGUUGUUUAGGAAUCUCAUCUCGAUUCUAUAUAGGCAAAGAGAUUUAUCACUAUACUCUGUUGAAAGGACAGAAUAAAAGGACAAUGUAUGUGGGUCAGAGCAACUGGAUUGCUCUUACUUGGGAAUAAAAUGCAUUUUGUCAUUUGACUCAUAGCCUUAGGUGAAUGCACAUAGAAUAUGGAGUUUCUAAAUUCAGUAAAAUGUCAUGGAUUUUUACCUUUGUAAUAUUGGAAACCCAUCAUGGAAUACCCUGGGCAUCUGGCUGUUGGGAAAUAAAAAAGAAGGCAAUAAUUCAUAUUUCCUUUCAUAUAUAUAUAUAUAUAUAUAUAUAUAUAUAUAUAUAUAUAUAUAUUACAAAUCUUUCCUCUAUGCCAGUAAAUGAUUCUGGCUAGUGUAAUAUUUUGAUUUUAGUUGUGAUUGCUUUUAAACCAAGAUAUAUAUAAAUUUAAAUUCUCC